rnacentral:rRNA from 1 species
UACGGAGGGUGCGAGCGUUGUCCGGAAUCACUGGGCGUAAAGGGCGCGUAGGCGGCCUGAUAAGUAGGGGGUGAAAUCCUGCGGCUUAACCGCAGGGCUGCCUUCUAGACUGUCAGGCUAGAGCACAGUAGAGGCAGGUGGAAUUCCCGGUGUAGCGGUGGAAUGCGUAGAGAUCGGGAAGAACAUCAGUGGCGAAGGCGGCCUCCUGGGCCAGCACUGACGCUCAUGCACGAAAGCGUGGGGAGCAAACAGG